GUAGGUGAACCUGCGGAAGGAUCAUUAACACAUCCUUGUAAUCUUUACUUUAUGUUGGCGCACCAGAAACGGUCCGAGUGCGAAGGCUCGUUAAGCUCUGUUUGAUGCUCUCUCGAGGGCAUUAGCUUGAUGGCUGUUCAUCCAGACUCUGUCUGAGGUGGAGCUUCGAUUCGCGGAUAGUAUACAGCCUCAAGCAGGGCUGGCCUUUUGUUUCCCCCCUUUCACUAUUUUUACACCAUGCAUUCUUGAA
rnacentral:misc_RNA from 1 species